UCCGUAGGCGGAAUAUUAAGUCAGUGGUGAAAUCCUGCGGCUCAACCGUAGAACUGCCAUUGAUACUGAUAUUCUUGAAUGUAGUUGAGGUAGGCGGAAUGUGUAAUGUAGCGGUGAAAUGCUUAGAUAUUACACAGAACACCGAUUGCGAAGGCAGCUUACUAAACUAUGAUUGACGCUGAGGCACGAAAGCGUGGGGAGCGAACAGGAUUAGAUACCCUGGUAGUCC
rnacentral:rRNA from 1 species